rnacentral:rRNA from 1 species
GUGCCAGCCGCCGCGGUAAUACAGAGGGUGCGAGCGUUGUUCGGAAUUACUGGGCGUAAAGCGCGCGCAGGCGGCCUUUUAAGUCUGACGGUGAAAUGCCGGGGCUCAACCCCGUGCCCGCCGCGGAUACUGGGAGGCUGGAGACACGUAGAGGCAAGCGGAAUUCCGGGUGUAGCGGUGGAAUGCGUAGAGAUCCGGAAGAACACCGGAGGCGAAGGCGGCUUGCUGGGCGUAGUCUGACGCUGAGGCGCGAAAGCGUGGGGAGCGAACAGGAUUAGAUACCCCCGUAGUCC